AAGCAAGACCUUCUCUGCAGCCAUGAGUAAGAUACAAGCAUCAGGAACGGAAAGAGAUGUUUUGGAAGCCUUGCCUGAAUGCAUACAUUAUAAAGCAAAUAAAAAAAUCACAAACAAACAAACAACCCGAACAUUCGCUCGUGAGAGAAAACCAAUAAUGGUCACAAUGAAGAUCAAAAAUGAAUUUCAAUGAGGAAGCACAGAUGAGGCCUUGAGGUGGCUCUGUAUGGUUGCUGGAAAGUCAGCUUCAUGCGUGGCUCAGAAGGCAAGGGAAUGUUCUCUUUCUUUCUUUUCACUGUGUUGUCAC
rnacentral:lncRNA from 1 species